UUAAAGACUAUGAAGGGGAGAGUAGCUGUCAUAUGAGAGCUUACAGAGAGCCGGGCCGAAGCUGAGAACCGGCAGCGCGGUGAUAGCGAAAGUAGCCCUGGAGUUGCUGAACUGAAAUAUAAAUAUAGAGUAGGUUCAGACGGAAGCGCCCGUUAUAAGCGCAGGGUAUAUUUAUAUGUACCUGUGGAGGUUGUUGCCGCGAGGCAACAAUGAAAUUGGGUGGUAACACGAAAUAUAACCUUUCGUCCCUAUA
rnacentral:ncRNA from 1 species